CCAAGUCUUCAAAUUUCUGCAGCUUACUCGUAGUAAAUCUCUCACACACAAUGUUCAGAUCUUCCUUCUACGCGAAAGGGACAAGGGGCAGUCCCUUUCCA